rnacentral:lncRNA from 1 species
CACGACGCCUCCCACCCCCAUGAUGAAGGCUUUGUUCCCAGCGGCUUCAGCUGCCUGAGUCCUUCUUCGCUCGCACUGGGCUCCUUUACGUGAACAGAUCUCCGGUGGCCUCAACAGUAAGCCAGUCACACAGGUGUGUUAGGAAAAGGAACAGAAGAGACCGGCACCUCAGGAAGCACAUUCACUAACAGGCCCAGUGACAUCUCAGUGACAUCUUCUGCAUGCCCUCCACCAAUCAGCUUCCUCUUAAUGUUGCAGAAGACUAUUCCAUGAC